GAGGUCUGCUAUAAACAUAUAACUUAGGUGAGGUAUAAAGAUUUAACUCUGGAGUCUGGCAGGACAUGCAGCAAUCUCCCUCUCAGGAGGUCUGCCCUAAGAAUAGGGCUAACUCUUGAAGGCAAAAGGGGAUAAU
ensembl:scaRNA